GCAGUGGGAUGUUCCCUAGAAACUGCAUGGAGCUGAGCCAAGGAACUUAAAGGGACUGAGCAAGCAAAGUAAAGAAAGAAUGAAGAAGGGAACUGAGGCAGCAGCCAAGCAGCACCAGGCUCCUCUACAACCAGGAUAAAAUGGGGCAAGCGGGCAGGAAGAAAAGAAGCCCCGUGACUCCUCCCUGAGCCCCAGCCAGCCCCUGAACUGCCUUCCUGGGAAUGGUGGGACGGGCUGGACUCUGGAUUGCUCCCUCUGCAUGUGUGGCUCUCCCCUCAGGAACUGCAGGAACUCCUGGUGCCGCCUGGGCCGAUGGAUUGGACGCCCCAGCCCCUCCGUUCCUGCCCAGCCCCUGGGGCCGUGUCCAGUGGUGGCACUGCCAGCCCUGCAGGGGAAGUGGGAAGGGCCUUUGCAGGUCUUGUGGGUCACAUUUAUAGCAGUGGGAUGGAGCCUGGAAACUGCCCAGAGCUGAGCCCAGGGAUUGAAAGGGACCAAGCAAGGGAGGUGAAGAAAGAAGGAAGAAGGGAAGUGAGGCAGCAGGCAAGCAGCACCAAGUUGCUGUGUAAGCAGGUAGUGUCCUGAAUUAGUUGAUUUCUGCCUCACUCCCUGAUGUCUGAGUUUGGAGAUGUACCAAGAACUGGUAGUUUUUGCAGUGGGAUGUUCCCUAGAAACUGCAUGGAGCUGAGCCAAGGAACUUAAAGGGACUGAGCAAGCAAAGUCAAGAAAGAAUGAAGAAGGGAACUGAGGCAGCAGCCAAGCAGCACCAGGCUCCUCUACAACCAGGAGAAAAUGGGGCAAGCGGGCAGGAAGAAGAGAAGCCCCGUGACUCCUCCCUGAGCCCCAGCCAGCCCCUGAACUGCCUCCCUGGGAAUGGUGGGACGGGCUGGACUCUGGAUUGCUCCCUCUGCAUGUGUAUGGGAUGGAGCCUGGAAAGUGCACAGAGCUGAGCCCAGGGAUUGAAAGGGACAAACCAAGGGAGGUGAAGGAAGAAGGAAGAAGGGAAGUGAGGCAGCAGCCAAGCAGCACCAAGUUGCUGUGUAAGCAGGUGAGUUGUGUUGAGGUUCCUCAGGCAGGCACUGAGGACUUGGAGGGCUCCAGACAGAGCAGACCUGGGAAGGCCCUCGGUGGAGCUCCUUGGAAACCUUCUAAGGGUAGGUGUGCAUGGUGAUAAGUGUUGGGAUUGUCCUGAAUGUGGAACAGGAAUGCAGGGAAGCAAAAUGAACCCUCCUGUAAUGCUGACCCCUCCCAUCAGCUCCAGUGGAGACACCUGUGUGUGCCCUUUGGGAGCUGAUUGCCAGGACCCCCGUGGGGCUGGGAUCAUGGCAGGGGGUUGUAAGCAAGGAAUGCCUGGCUUCUUAAAGUCACCAGCUGAGUCUUAGAGGCUUCUUUGAAGAGCUGAGUUCAGGCAGGCAAAUUGCCCCCCCAGGAGGGACUCUGUGCCUGCUCUCCCGUGGCUCCAAGGGAUCUCUGGCCCUUCACGCCGGCACCGAGAUUUUCUCGGGAAGGGCCUCAGAUCCCCGGACCAGUCUGGGACACAGGCAAGAUCCCGCUGCAGUUUAGGACCAAAUUGGCCCCCCUGGAGGGACAGUGCUGUUGGUGCCCCCCGGGUUGGGGCACCCCGAGGACUCCAGCGCGCACCGAAAGGAUUAUUCGGGGAGAUCCUCGGGGUGCCCGGCCCUGGGGAGCUCAAAGCAAGGUCCCUGCCAUGGAUUCAGGCAUUGCUGAGAGUAUCCCAGGGGUCCCUGUCCCUGCUAGACAUGGAGCUCUCUACUGGGCUGUAAUUGGGUGAUAAAAGUGGUGCUCCAAGUGCCAAAGCAGUGUGGGAUUGGGAUUAAGAAAUGAGCAGUGAGGGUCCAAUUGGCUGUUUUCUCUGGAAUGUGACUGUGAGAGCUGCAGGAGUGCCAGGUGUGUGUUCCAGUCCCCAGCAUUUGGUUUGCACCUGUCCUGGUCAGACACAGGUCCAACUUGCUCAGUCCUUAACCCAAGAGAGGGAGAAUGAAGGACUGGCACUGUUCAGGUGAUUGGUGUGACAGGGGUUAAACUGGGAAAACAUUGGGGAAUUCUUGAGUUUGUCUGUUUGCCAAACUCACCCAAACCUGUGCUAGGAAGAGAUGGACUGGAGUCUCUGCUCCCCUGGGCAGUUGUCCUGCAUGACCUGGGAGCCUCUGGGAUUAGACUGGACUGGGCAGACAGGGAGCAGUUUGUCCUGUGGAGCUGGGCUGGGUUUGUUCAGGAUGCCUUGGGAGGCAGGGCUGGAGAGGCCCCUCUGUUGGCUGUGGUGCUGGAAGGUUGUAGCAGCAGGGCUGGAGCCCUUCGCCCUCCUGCUCCCCCCGUGAGCCCCGCCGGGCCCGUGCCCUUGGCAAUGGAGGGCCCCCCAUUGCUGAGCCAGCGGUUCCGGGGCCAGGAGGGAUGGGAUCAGGAUGGGGCUCCACCCAGGGCCAGGGCUGCCAGUGUUCAACCAUGGAGAGAACUGAGAGCAGAGUGAGAUGGAGGCCAAGCUCCAGCACAGGGAUGGGUGAGAAAAGACCCUGGUCCUCAGGUGGAGCUUUGAAUUCCCUGGAAAAAUGGAUCCUGUCAGAUGGUUCAGGCCCUUGUGGGUGGUGGAGCAGAGGCCUCUGUGAUUUAUGGUCACCCUGAAAGGUUCCAAGGACACCAAGUUCUGACUGCAGGAUGAGGUGGGAAACAAAGUGAAGUGGUCCAGAGACAAGCUGAGGCUAAAAUUGGUGCUGUGCCAGAGCAGCCUCGUGCAGUGCUUGUUGCUGUCCUGAGUGUCCCAUUGCAGGGGAUAUUCCCAAGGGUGCCUUGGGCUGGGGAACACUGGGGGCAGUUCCCUUUCCCUGGGCAGGGCAGGCAGGGCACGUUUCCCCCCUCGAGGGUGGCUCCACAGUCCCCCCCUGUGCCCUGGGAGCGUGGCAGAACACCUGGAGCCACUGUCCUUGUCAGAGAGGGCACAAGGGAUGGUUGGAUGGGUGAGGGAAUGGGUCAGGGAGUACAAGCACCAUUAGAAUGAGUAGGGCAGCACAUGGAAAGGAAGGGGGGAGUUAAUCCAGACAAAAUCCAAGCACCUGCCCAACCUGUGAUAGUUUUAGGAACUCAGUGGUGCUGUGGUGCCCAGGAUUAGGCAGGAGACUUCAGGCUUGGUCACCCCCAGAGCAAGUCUCCAGGGGCAGGCAGUGGGGAGGCAGCUCUGCUGGUGAGGAUGGGGUUAUUUUCUCUGCUUUAUUUUGUCUCCAGAGAUAUUCUGCCCAUUAAUCCAAACUGACUCUGUCUCCUAACUCUCUGAAGAGGUUUUCUGCUUUUUGUGGGAGGGUGAGGUUUGGAUUCUAACUAUAGAAGAGCCAACAAAAUAAAGGCUUUGUGGCAAACAAAUGGUGUCUCCCAAACUCUUUGUACUUCAAAUAGAUGCCUUUAUUCUUAUUUUUUUCUUAUUGGUAUUCUCAAGGUGUUUAAUACCCUGUCUACAGUUAUUUAUUUUGGCUUCUCUUUUUUAUUUGUUACAAAGUUGAUGUGACUGACUUUUUUUUGAAAUCCAGCAGUGCUCUCAAGGAUAUUUCCCCCCCACUCCUGGGCUUGUGCAGGGCUGUUGAGUCCGUGUGUGCCGCUGUCAGCUUUGCUUCUCUGUUUGCUUGGUUGGCUCCUGUUAAGAGAAGGUUUGUUUCCUCCACUGUAAUAAUUCAGGGAAAUCCUGAGGUAUGAUUUAAGAAAUAAAGUCAUGAACUAUUGCAAUAAAUGUGAAUCCAAGAGUGCCUAAAAGCUGUUACUGAAUUCCAUUUCCAGGGACUGUCCUGGUGGGGAUAAUCCAGAACUGCAGCUUUGAUGUUUAAAAAGGAGCCUGUGGUACUUCUUGUUUCCUGUGCUGGGCUUUCCUUGAACAGUGCCCAGGGAGGGGAGCAGCAACAGCUUCACUUGGAAGUGGACUCUGGUUUUUGAGAACAUCCUAAGCUCAGUGUGGUUUUGGUAUCACUAAGUACUUAUUUUAUUUGCCAUUUGUCUUAAAUUUUAUACACCUUUGAAGUGCCAACUGUGUUUUGAAGACAUUCUUACAGUUGUUUCAAGUGAAAUUUGGAGUGUUACAAAUUUAGAAAGAGAUGAUUUUUAUGUGAAUAAACUACUAAAACAAAGGGGAGAGUGAGGAAAGCCAAGCUCAGGAGAUAACCUUACCAACUGGUUUGGGAAGUUGUUUACCUAAAUAGCCCAAAUUGGUUGGAGCUGCAGCACAAACGGGGGGAGAAGGAGAGGGUUUGUGUUUUGACAGUUCUUGGAGUUUUUUGCAGGGACUACUGCCAGGUUCUCUUUGAAGUCCAAACCCCAUUAGCAUGGGGAAAUGUUUGUUUGGCUUUAGAAAUAGGAGUGUAUAUUUCCCUUUGAACUAGAGGAAUGUUUCUAUGUCUUUGAAUUUUAAAUUGCACAUGAAGCAGAAAUAUGUUUGUGUUUUACAGGUGACAUUGUCAUGAAAAUAGAAAUGCAUCAUUGGAUCUUACUCCUCUGAGGGCAAACCACCAGGCUGAUCAUUUCUGAGUCCCUCAAACCCAGUGCCAUGAGCUCAGAGGGGUGUUUGGGUGCAAAUGUGCUGAGUGGUGGUGGCCCCGUGAGAUGUGAGCAGCUGGAAAUGUGUGUGUGUGUGUGCAGAGCUGGGCUGGAGCCCUUGGGAUUUGGCUCCCAGAUCCCCCCCAGCCUUCAGGAAAACCAGAGGACACCGAACCCUGAGGGAAGGGAGUCCCAUCUGCAGAAGGGUUUUUAGGUUGGGGAAAAGCUCCAGAACAAAGCCUGGGUUCCAAACACCUUCAGCAAAAGUCAAGGAGCACAGACCCUGAAGUCAUCAAGUUAUGGAGUUUGGUUCAAACCAUUUGCUUCUCAGUCAGUUUGAAUGAAGUGUUAAAAGGAGAACUUAAAUAAGGUUAAUUUCUGAUGGAGAACAAUGGGAAGAAGUGAAGUGGUUUAAGUUCAUUAAACAUGUUUUAUAUCAGUCCAUGGUUAUUUAAUUGAGCAUUGUUUGGAAUUUUUCUUUUUGCAUUUGUUCCUUGUGUGCUUUUCUCUAUCUGAGGGAUGGUUGGAGGUCUUUCUGAUUGGUUGGAUGUUUUUAAUGUCAGUGCUAGACUGGGGUGGUCAGUCAUUGUAACAUGAUUGAGAGUUUGAUGCAUUUUAUUCUGUGUGCCCUGUUUGAUGUCUCGUGUUCAGUGAGUGACUGGGCAGAGUUUGUCCCAAGCCUUUGUUUUUUGGGUGAAAACCCAAAGGGGAAUUGUAGCUGCAGCUUUGGCCUUGAGCUGCAGCUGGAGCCAAAGAACAAGGAAAACCUCCCUGGGGAAGGAAGGGGAGCCAGAGAAGAAAAGCAGCUGCAGCCAGAAAGUGGGAUGGAGCCUGGAAACUGCACAGAGCUGAGCCCAGGGAUUGAAAGGGACCAAGCAAGGGAGGUGAAGGAAGAAGGAAGAAGGGAAGUGAGGCAGCAGGCAAGCAGCACCAAGUUCCUGUGUAAGCAGGAGAAAAUGGGGCAAGGGGGCAGGAAGAAGAGAAGCCCCGUGACUCCUCCCUGAGCCCCAGCCAGCCCAUGAACUGCCUCCCUGGGAAUGGUGGGACGGGCUGGACUCUGGAUUGUUCCCUCUGGAUGUGUGGCUCUCCCCUCAGGAACUGCAGGAACUCCUGGUGCCGCCUGGGCCGAUGGAUUGGACACCCCAGCCCCUCCGUUCCUGCCCAGCCCCUGGGGCCGUGUCCAGUGGUGGCACUGCCAGCCCUGCAGGGGAAGUGGGAAGGGCCUUUGCAGUGGGAUGUAGCCUGGAAACUGCACAGAGCUGAGCCAAGGGAUUGAAAGGGACCAAUCAAGGGAGGUGAAGAAAGAAGGAAGAAGGGAAGUGAGGCAGCAGGCAAGCAGCACCAAGUUGCUGUGUAAGCAGGUGAGUUGUGUUGAGGUUCCUCAGGCAGGCACUGAGGACUUGGAGGGCUCCAGACAGAGCAGACCUGGGAAGGCCCUCGGUGAAGCCCCUCAGAGACCUUCUAAGGGUAGGUGUGUAUGGUGAUGAGUGUUGGGAUUGUCCUGAAUGUGGAACAGGAAUGCAGGGAAGGAAAAUGAACCCUCCUGUAAUGCUGACCCCUCCCAUCAGCUGCAGUGGAGACACCUGUGUGUGCCCUUUGGGAGCUGAUUGCCAGGACCCCCCGUGGGGCUGGGAUCAUGGCAGGG